rnacentral:lncRNA from 1 species
AAGAAAGAUAACAACUGGGCCAAACAGCUGUGAACUGAUAUAAUUGAGUAAUUUUGCAAAAAGAAUUCAUUCCACAUAGAAGAAAACUUCAGACACAAUGAGAAAGUCACCUCUAGUAAAUGUAACAGGCUGUUUGUAAGUUCAGCUUAGAAACAGAUGUCCCACUUUCCUUUGGCACUUGGUUGACUUUGCAGAGCUUUGAUUAUAUGUGGUGACAAUUAACAAGAAUUUGAAGGAGGGGGGACAGAAAUUGGUGGCUUACAGGUGUGAAUAAGGCAGUAUAAAUGAGCUAAUCCAUUUUUAGGCUGCACAAUAGGGAAAACUCCUAACAGUGAUUUUAUUCUGCCAUGAAAUAGAGUCCUCAAAUGAAGGGAUGGAUGCCUAAUAGCCUGAGAUGGAAAAUACUAUACACUGAGAGCACACUUUCAUUGGCAAGGAAAUGCAUAAUUUAAUAGGUCCUUUCCAUCUCUAUGAUCCUAUAACUUGGGGCCAUUCCAAAGUAUAAGGCAAAAUGAAAGAUAUAUUGAACUUCUGCGUCACUUUCAUAAAGCAUUUGAUCAAUCUUGGCAUGCAGAGGCACAAACGGUGAAGCUAUUUCAUUUGAAACAUUUUACAUUUGGAAGGAGAUCUGAUCACUUUCCAGAGACUGGACAAAUACAAUGAAGCAGAAAUAAUGGCCAAUGUUACCCUUCUUUCUUUUAUCUUAUAAUCCAGAUCUGACAUUGUGUACUGCUGCACUGCCUGGAUUCCCUUGAGAACGAAGUAGCAAACUAAGUAACACUGCAUAUGAUGGUUUGGUCAUUGAAUUGAAAUGUAUUUCAGUUAAAUAAUAUGGCAUACAAGUUCCUUCCAAUGGUUUUUUCAACCCACUAGAAGCGUAGGCACAAAAUUUGACCUUUCAGACACUGACACAGAGUAUUCCCUUCCUCCCAAAGUUUCCCCUGGUUGAUGUCAUCCUCACGGUCAGGAUAACAGAUAUAUUUUCUCAGAUCAUGAAUCAUGUCAACCAUACUUCAGCAAGAAAAGGAAAAAGCACAAAGCGCUACCUUCUGCUCCAGAACAAAAUUCAACCCUUGAACAUCGAUGUCUACUUCCAUUUAGGAUUAUAUUUGUUUCCAGCAGAAGGUGUGUCAGAGAAACCCUACUGUUAUUUCCUGUAGAGCUGAAGCAACUACAGACUUCUACAGUUAGUUGCUUAACGUUCAUGCCUUCUGCCACUUGACUAUUUUUACCAGCAU